rnacentral:rRNA from 1 species
UACGGAGGGUGCAAGCGUUAAUCGGAAUUACUGGGCGUAAAGCGCACGCAGGUGGCUGAGUCAGUCGAUUGUGAAAGCCCUGGGCUUAACCUGGGAACUGCGUUUGAUACGGAUGGGCUAGAGUUCGGGAGAGGAGAGUGGAAUUCCCAGUGUAGAGGUGAAAUUCGUAGAUAUUGGGAAGAACACCGGUGGCGAAGGCGGCUCUCUGGACCGAGACUGACGCUGAGGCGCGAAAGCGUGGGGAGCAAACAGG